rnacentral:rRNA from 1 species
CGAUAACGAACGAGACCUUAACCUGCUAAAUAGUUAGGCCAACGUUUGUUGGUCGUCAACUUCUUAGAGGGACUAUUGACUAUUAGUCAAUGGAAGUUUGAGGCAAUAACAGGUCUGUGAUGCCCUUAGAUGUUCUGGGCCGCACGCGCGCUACACUGAUCAAGUCAACGAGUUUACAACCUUGGCCGGAAGGUCUGGGUAAUCUUUUGAAACUUGAUCGUGCUGGGGAUAGUCCAUUGCAAUUAUUGGACUUCAACGAGGAAUUCCUAGUAAGCGUGAGUCAUCAGCUCGCGUUGAUUACGUCCCUGCCCUUUGUACACACCGCCCGUCGCUACUACCGAUUGAAGGGCU